CCUACGUGUGGCAGCAGUGAGGAAUAUUGGUCAAUGGUCGCGAGCCUGAACCAGCCAAGUAGCGUGAAGGAUGAAGGCCCUAAGGGUUGUAAACUUCUUUUAUCAAGGAAUAAAGUGAGGCACGUGUGCCCUUUUGUAUGUACUUUAUGAAUAAGGAUCGGCUAACUCCGUGCCAGCAGCCGCGGUAAUACGGAGGAUCCGAGCGUUAUCCGGAUUUAUUGGGUUUAAAGGGAGCGUAGAUGGGUUGUUAAGUCAGUUGUGAAAGUUUGCGGCUCAACCGUAAAAUUGCAAUUGAUACUGGCAGCCUUGAGUUGAGUAGAGGUAGGCGGAAUGCGGGGUGUAGCGGUGAAAUGCUUAGAUAUCACGAAGAACUCCGAUUGCGAAGGCAGCAUAC
rnacentral:rRNA from 1 species